GCCGGCGUAGAGCAAUAGUAGCUUAUUGGAUUCCUAAUCCAAAGGUUGCGGGUGCAAGUCCCGUCGUCGGUG
rnacentral:tRNA from 1 species